rnacentral:rRNA from 1 species
AGAGUUUGAUCCUGGCUCAGAUUGAACGCUGGCGGCAUGCCUUACACAUGCAAGUCGAACGGCAGCGCGGGCGGGGGUAACCUCGCCUGGCGGCGAGUGGCGGACGGGUGAGUAAUAUAUCGGAACGUACCCUGGAGUGGGGGAUAACGUAGCGAAAGUUACGCUAAUACCGCAUACGAUCCAAGGAUGAAAGCAGGGGACCGCAAGGCCUUGUGCUCCUGGAGCGGCCGAUAUCUGAUUAGCUAGUUGGCGGGGUAAAAGCCCACCAAGGCAACGAUCAGUAGCUGGUCUGAGAGGACGACCAGCCACACUGGAACUGAGACACGGUCCAGACUCCUACGGGAGGCAGCAGUGGGGAAUUUUGGACAAUGGGCGCAAGCCUGAUCCAGCAAUGCCGCGUGAGUGAAGAAGGCCUUCGGG